rnacentral:tRNA from 1 species
GCAUUGGUUGUUCAGUGGUAGAAUCCUUGCCUUCCGUGCAGGAGGCUUGGGUUCAAUUCUUGGCCGGUGCU